ACAUAGCCGAAAGUUGCAGAGAUGAAGGGUGAAAGCUGGAAUGAUUGGGUUUUAAUGGGUCAGGUCUGGGACCUGGCUUUUCUCCUGGAGCAGAGGGAAUACUUGUCAUGGUAAUGGGGUAGCCCAGAGGGUGUGGACACGGCUGGGAAAAGUGAGGCUUCAGUUUGGGGGUCAGAGCAAGAGUCGGUCAGUGGUCACCUGGGACCUCCAGCAGGCGCACCUGCAGCCCCCGAGACUCCCACGUGCCUGCCAGACACCACGCCCCACCCCGCACCGGUGGUCUGCUCUGCCGACCCGCAGGUCUGCUGCCGCUGCAGGUUGGCUCUUGAGUCCCUGGACCCUCGCACACUGCGGCUGCUGUGGAGACAGCGAGAACUGGAGAUCCAGGCCUUGCGGUGGGCCAUCCAGAAUGGCGAGGACGCCCGGCUCUGCCACAUCCUGGAAGAGGUGGCGGGGCUUCCGCCCAAGAGGUCUGCAGCACAGUCCCCAGCCCAACCCAACCCCGCCCUGUCCUCGCCCGGACUCCUGGUUUCUGUCUGACCCCAACCCCAACCGCUGAGGCAGAUCCUUACCCUCAUCCUUGCCCGCGCUGACCCUCCACCCUGAUC
rnacentral:lncRNA from 1 species